rnacentral:rRNA from 1 species
UACGUAGGGCGCAAGCGUUGUCCGGAAUUAUUGGGCGUAAAGAGCUCGUAGGCGGCUUGUCACGUCGGGUGUGAAAGCCCGGGGCUUAACCCCGGGUCUGCAUUCGAUACGGGCAGGCUAGAGUGUGGUAGGGGAGAUCGGAAUUCCUGGUGUAGCGGUGAAAUGCGCAGAUAUCAGGAGGAACACCGGUGGCGAAGGCGGGUCUCUGGGCCGUAACUGACGCUGAGGAGCGAAAGCAUGGGGAGCGAACAGG